rnacentral:snRNA from 1 species
UUAUGCUCACUUUGGCCUUACAUAUACAAAACUGGAGCAACAAAGAAAAGAUUAGCACGGCUCCUGUGUGCAAGGAUGGCCGCAACUUCCGGGAGUGCUCUAUAUUUGU